rnacentral:rRNA from 1 species
UGGGGAAUAUUGCACAAUGGGCGCAAGCCUGAUGCAGCCAUGCCGCGUGUGUGAAGAAGGCCUUCGGGUUGUAAAGCACUUUCAGCGGGGAGGAAGGCGUUAAGGUUAAUAACCUUGGCGAUUGACGUUACCCGCAGAAGAAGCACCGGCUAACUCCGUGCCAGCAGCCGCGGUAAUACGGAGGGUGCAAGCGUUAAUCGGAAUUACUGGGCGUAAAGCGCACGCAGGCGGUCUGUCAAGUCGGAUGUGAAAUCCCCGGGCUCAACCUGGGAACUGCAUUCGAAACUGGCAGGCUAGAGUCUUGUAGAGGGGGGUAGAAUUCCAUGUGUAGCGGUGAAAUGCGUAGAGAUCUGGAGGAAUACCGGUGGCGAAGGCGGCCCCCUGGACGAAGACUGACGCUCAGGUGCGAAAGCGUGGGGAGCAAACAGG